CCUACGGGUGGCUGCAGUGGGGAAUAUUGGACAAUGGGCGAAAGCCUGAUCCAGCCAUGCCGCGUGUGUGAAGAAGGCCUUCGGGUUGUGAAGCACUUUCAGUGGGGAAGAAAGCCUUGGGGCUAAUACCCUCGAGGAAGGACAUCACCCACAGAAGAAGCACCGGCUAACUCCGUGCCAGCAGCCGCGGUAAUACGGAGGGUGCGAGCGUUAAUCGGAAUUACUGGGCGUAAAGCGCGCGUAGGCGGUCUGAUAAGCCGGUUGUGAAAGCCCCGGGCUCAACCUGGGAACGGCAUCCGGAACUGUCAGGCUAGAGUGCAGGAGAGGAAGGUAGAAUUCCCGGUGUAGCGGUGAAAUGCGUAGAGAUCGGGAGGAAUACCAGUGGCGAAGGCGGCCUUCUGGACUGACACUGACGCUGAGGUGCGAAAGCGUGGGUAGCAAACAGGAUUAGAUACCCCGGUAGUC
rnacentral:rRNA from 1 species